AAUAAUAUUACUAAAAUUUUCAAAUAAAUAAAUAAAUAUUAGUAAAAAAUUAAAAAUUUUAAGAUGAAAAAAUGCCAUUUUACAGCUACACGGUUUCUCUUCUCAGUCCCGGUAGAAAUUUUUUCUGUCACCGACGGUCAAAUCCGACCCCACCGUGAGAUUCGCCGGCCCCUAAAACCUAACACCCAUAAGCUCUCUCCUUCUCCGAGCACGACGACGCAUCUCAGACGGCUAUUGUUCAGCCAUUGACGGUGCAAGCGGACACAGAUCAAGCUUCCUUCCCCUUUCUCGGUCCUCUCAUUCUCUCUCUCGUUCUUUCGAUGGGAUCUUUCUCUGAAUGGGGAUAAUUGCUUUUGAUAUAGGUAAGGAGAAAUUUAAUCUUAUAAAGUUACCUAAAUUUUGGAGAGGUAAUGAUGGUGGGGACAUAGCUAAAAUUUUUGGGUGGGUGUCUUUCUAUGAUAUAUGUGGAUGAAGACACAGUAGUUCACAUAUGGAUUAUGAAAAAUUAUGGUGACUCUUAUUCUUGGUACAAAUAUUAAUUUUUUAGUUUAUAUGAUCUUAUUUCAGAUAAGCUUGGUAAAUUUUUUGAGCAAUGAGAUUAUGUUAGUUUCUUUAUUUUUGACUGGUUAUUAUUGUAGUAAGACACAAGUGUAAGAUAAGAGGAUGAUAUCCUGCAUUGGACUUCACUACUUAUGCAGAGAGCGUUUUCAGGAUAAAUGAGUGACAAUUUCGUAUAUGUUUUAAAAAGUGAGUUUAACACUUUUGGAUCUUUCCUCAAAUGCGAUCCACCCAACACGAAAGAAAUCCUCUCAUCUCGACAACACGAUCCAUCCAAAAAUUGGUUUUGAAGCUCUUAAUUAUGUGUCUGCUCCCAUCUCGUUUUUGUGGAUGGAUGAGGAUGCCAUAGUUUAGAUUUCUAAACCCAGUGUGAGUCUAGGUAAAGCUCCCAUACAUUUAUAUUUAAUUUUCUUUUGAUUGUAUAUGUAUGUUUAUUGUAUAAACUUUUGGUUUGAAUUUGUUUUUGAGUUUUGUGAUAUAAUUUUUUUGAUUUACUGUGCAUAUACUAUUGUUCAUUUUAUCAAUUCCUGAGUUAUUUUUUGCAGAUGUAUUCAUGAUAUUGAUUAUUGUUAAUGAAUUUCCUUUGAUCUUGAUGGUUCUCA